ensembl:lncRNA novel transcript, antisense to GMFG
AGACCAGGGUUCCAAAGCUUCCUUGCUGUGUGACCCUAGCUAAGUAACUUCACCCCUCUGAUUUGAGAUUGUGGUGAGGAUAUAAAUAGCUUCACAUCGGCCGGGCAUGGUGGCUCACACCUGUAAUGCCAGCACUUUGGGAGGCCGAGGCGGGCGGAUCACCUGAGGUCAGGAGUUGGAGACCAGCCUGACCAACAUGGCAAAACCCCAUCUCUACUAAAAAUACAAAAUAUUAGCCUGGCAUGGUGGUGCACGCCUGUGAUCCCAGCUACUCGGGAGUCUGAGGCACAAGAAUUGCUUGAAUCCGAGCAGCAGAGGUUGCAGUGAGCCAAGAUCACAUCAUUGCACUCUAUCCCAGGCAAUAAAAAUACAAAUAAAUAAAAAUAAAUAAAUAAAUAGCUUCACAUAGCUGCCAGCAUGGCAGACACAA